AGAGUUUGAUCCUGGCUCAGGACGAACGCUGGCGGCGUGCCUAAUACAUGCAAGUCGAACGAAGCUUUCUUUCACCGAAUGCUUGCAUUCACCGAAAGAAGCUUAGUGGCGAACGGGUGAGUAACACGUAGGCAACCUGCCCAAAAGAGGGGGACAACACUUGGAAACAGGUGCUAAUACCGCAUAACCAUGAACACCGCAUGAUGUUCAUGUAAAAGACGGCUUUUGCUGUCACUUUUGGAUGGGCCUGCGGCGUAUUAACUUGUUGGUGGGGUAACGGCCUACCAAGGUGAUGAUACGUAGCCGAACUGAGAGGUUGAUCGGCCACAUUGGGACUGAGACACGGCCCAAACUCCUACGGGAGGCAGCAGUAGGGAAUCUUCCACAAUGGACGAAAGUCUGAUGGAGCAACGCCGCGUGAAUGAAGAAGGCCUUCGGGUCGUAAAAUUCUGUUGUCAGAGAAGAACGUGCGUGAGAGUAACUGUUCACGUAUUGACGGUAUCUGACCAGAAAGCCACGGCUAACUACGUGCCAGCAGCCGCGGUAAUACGUAGGUGGCGAGCGUUGUCCGGAUUUAUUGGGCGUAAAGGGAACGCAGGCGGUCUUUUAAGUCUGAUGUGAAAGCCUUCGGCUUAACCGAAGUAGUGCAUUGGAAACUGGAAGACUUGAGUGCAGAAGAGGAGAGUGGAACUCCAUGUGUAGCGGUGAAAUGCGUAGAUAUAUGGAAGAACACCAGUGGCGAAAGCGGCUCUCUGGUCUGUAACUGACGCUGAGGUUCGAAAGCGUGGGUAGCAAACAGGAUUAGAUACCCUGGUAGUCCACGCCGUAAACGAUGAGUGCUAAGUGUUGGAGGGUUUCCGCCCUUCAGUGCUGCAGCUAACGCAUUAAGCACUCCGCCUGGGG
rnacentral:rRNA from 1 species